rnacentral:snoRNA from 21 species
CGGGCUGGACUGCCGUGGUCGCGGCUGAAUGAAAAGCCCGCCCGCGGCCGAGUCUACA